UACGUAGGGUGCAAGCGUUAAUCGGAAUUACUGGGCGUAAAGCGUGCGCAGGCGGUUGUGCAAGACCGAUGUGAAAUCCCCGGGCUUAACCUGGGAAGUUGACGUUGGAGACUGCAAGGCUGGAGUCUGGCAGAGGGGGGUAGAAUUCCACGUGUAGCAGUGAAAUGCGUAGAGAUGUGGAGGAACACCGAUGGCGAAGGCAGCCCCCUGGGUCGAAGACUGACGCUCAUGCACGAAAGCGUGGGGAGCAAACGAGGAUUACGAAACCCGUGGUAAGAUCCCGAUGACCCAAGUCU
rnacentral:rRNA from 1 species